rnacentral:rRNA from 1 species
AAUUGGAGGGCAAGUCUGGUGCCAGCAGCCGCGGUAAUUCCAGCUCCAAUAGCGUAUAUUAAAGUUGUUGCAGUUAAAAAGCUCGUAGUUGAAUUUCGGGAUCAAUAUUUCGGUCAUGCCGUUGGUAUGCACUGUUAUCAUUGAUUUCUCACCUUCUAAAGAACCGUAAUGCCAUUAAUUUGGUGUUACGGGGAAUUAGGACUGUUACCUUGAAAAAAUUAGAGUGUUUAAAGCAGGCUCACGCUUGAAUACGUUAGCAUGGAAUAAUGAAAUAGGACAUCCGAUUCUAUUUUGUUGGUUUCUAGGAUCGAUGUAAUGAUUAAUAGGGAUAGUUGGGGGCAUUAGUAUUCAAUUGUCAGAGGUGAAAUUCUUGGAUUUAUUGAAGACUAACUACUGCGAAAGCAUUUGCCAAGGAUGUUUUCAUUAAUCAAGAACGAAAGUUAGGGGAUCGAAGACGAUCAGAUACCGUCGUAGUCUUAACCAUAAACUAUGCCGACUAGGGAUCGGAUGAUGUUAAUUUUUUAAUGACUCAUUCGGCGCCUUACGGGAAACCAAAGUGU